rnacentral:sRNA from 1 species
GCCCAAUUUCGCACGUGCCUGUGGUCGCGUGCCGGUCAGGUCGGAACCCCCGACCUGGGCAGACCGGUGACCGGAGUUAAACCGGGUCUAAGCCGAGGCUCUCUCGGCGGACGCGACUUGAAGCAACGACGUAGCAGGGCUUUU